rnacentral:lncRNA from 1 species
UGUCCUUCCUCUUUCUCUUCCUUCAUUUCAAAGUUUCACUCCCUUUCUCCCUCUCUCCUGCUUGUGAAGACACUCUUCCUUUUUGUCUCGUGUGUUUUGGCUUCCAAAGAUGGGUGUGACUUCUCAAAACCACGGGCAGUUUUUUUUGUUUUGUCAGCUUCCACAAGAAAACAUCCCUCCUCAAAACCAGUUGCCAUGCUCGCUAUACAUCCUGAAAUGAGUUUUUUUUUUUUUUAAUGGAAUCUUGUACCCCAUGGAUGAGGCU